CCUACGGGCGGCACCAGUGGGGAAUAUUGCACAAUGGGCGCAAGCCUGAUGCAACCAUGCCGCGUGUAUGAAGAAGGCCUUCGGGUUGUAAAGUACUUUCAGCGGGGAGGAAGGCGGUGUGGUUAAUAACCUCACCGAUUGACGUUACCCGCAGAAGAAGCACCGGCUAACUCCGUGCCAGCAGCCGCGGUAAUACGGAGGGUGCAAGCGUUAAUCGGAAUUACUGGGCGUAAAGCGCACGCAGGCGGUCUGUCAAGUCGGAUGUGAAAUCCCCGGGCUCAACCUGGGAACUGCGUUCGAAACUGGCAGGCUAGAGUCUUGUAGAGGGGGGUAGAAUUCCAGGUGUAGCGGUGAAAUGCGUAGAGAUCUGGAGGAAUACCGGUGGCGAAGGCGGCCCCUGGACAAAGACUGACGCUCAGGUGCGAAAGCGUGGGGAGCAAACAGGAUUAGAUACCCCAGUAGUC
rnacentral:rRNA from 1 species